rnacentral:antisense_RNA from 1 species
CUUUGUUUCAGGUAGUACACAGUCAUGAAAUUGAGUAAGUCUCUUAAAAAAAUGGAAGUCCACAGAUCCCACUGUGGAAGGUGCGGUGGCACGUGCCUGUAGUCUCAGCUACUCAGGAGGCUUAGACAAGAGAAUCACUUGAACCCAGGAGGCAGAAGUUAAAGUGAGCCGAGACUGCGCCACUGCACUCCAGCCUGGCUGACAGAGUGAGACCCCAUCUCAAAAAACAAAAACAAAAGAAGGGCAUAUUGACCAUCUUUGGUUUUGGUGUGUAUAAAUAAAAUAAAGGCAGCCACACCAAUCUGUGAUGUGAGGCGGCCAGCAGCUACAGGACAAGGCACAGCUGAAAUACAGAGGCAAGGCUGUUUGUCUUAAUAGUUCACUAUACAGUUUGUUUAUACAUAUAUAUGGAGAGAGAGAGAGAGAGAGAGAGAGAGGUCCACUGAAGACUAGGAUGCUACUAUCAAGACAGAAACAGGUGGUUAUAAACUACAACGUGCUAAGAUGAGAAUAAAGGAUCAAAGAGGAAAGGCUUGAGAGAAUCUAUAUGAAGCUUUCACAACAAAAGUUAAAGUGACUUCAAUGUGAGGGCAAGAAAAUAUUUCAAGGCUCAGAGAGGCUAAAAUAAUCGAAG